rnacentral:rRNA from 1 species
AUGUCGGGCCGCGGCAAGGGAGGCAAGGGGCUGGGCAAGGGCGGCGCCAAGCGCCACCGGAAGGUGCUGCGUGACAACAUCCAGGGCAUCACCAAGCCGGCGAUCCGGCGUCUGGCGCGGCGCGGCGGCGUGAAGCGCAUCUCCGGGCUCAUCUACGAGGAGACCCGCGGCGUGCUCAAGAUCUUCCUCGAGAACGUCAUCCGCGACGCCGUCACCUACACCGAGCACGCCCGCCGCAAGACCGUCACCGCCAUGGACGUCGUCUACGCGCUCAAGCGACAGGGCCGCACCCUCUACGGAUUCGGCGGCUGA